rnacentral:rRNA from 1 species
AGAGACAGCAGCCGCCGCGGUAAUACAGAGGGUGCGAGCGUUAAUCGGAUUUACUGGGCGUAAAGCGUGCGUAGGCGGCUUCUUAAGUCGGAUGUGAAAUCCCUGAGCUUAACUUAGGAAUUGCAUUCGAUACUGGGAAGCUAGAGUAUGGGAGAGGAUGGUAGAAUUCCAGGUGUAGCGGUGAAAUGCGUAGAGAUCUGGAGGAAUACCGAUGGCGAAGGCAGCCAUCUGGCCUAAUACUGACGCUGAGGUACGAAAGCAUGGGGAGCAAACAGGAUUAGAGACCCGCGUAGUCCCUGUCUCUUAUAC